GUUUACACAAGUUACAGCUGGUCCUGAGUGCAGCAGCUCACCUCCUAACUAGAACCAGAACCAGAGAUCAUAGAACUCCUAUUUUAGCUUCACUUCAUCGGCUCCUGGUAAGUUUUAGAAUUGAUUUUUAAUAUUCAGAUCCAUCCAAUAACAUCAUUAAUAUCUAUUUGAUUAUUAGUAAGAACUAAACUGAGACAGCUGUUAGAAUAUAGAUUUCUUUAUUGAGUUCAUAUUUCAUAAACGUCCUUACAUCAAUUCUUACACCUGUAUUACUCCUCUUGAAUUUUUCACCCUUCUUUUUUCAUUCAUUGUGAUUUUUCUCUUUGAUUUGAGUUGUAAUGAUUUCUAAAGCAGGUUUGUUGGUUAAGAGGUGACGUUCACUUUCUCUUCUGUUUACAGUCUGCUGCUCCGGCUCCAGAUUUUCAUGUUUUCUGUCUUCACUUCUUUCUAAUCCUCCUCUCAGCUUGGCUCUGAUUUUUCUGUUUGUGUGUGAACCAGCCUGCAGUCUCGUGAG